rnacentral:lncRNA from 1 species
UAACAUAGAAAAAUAAAUUGUCAUUACUAAUUUAUAGUGUUCAUUGAAACAAAUUAAGUCUGUUUUGUUAUGAGAUGCAAAUAACAAUAUUUAAAUUUGUGUACAUAAGACCAUUGAUAGAACAUUCAUGAGUUUCUUUUUAUGAUGGCCAAGCAAAUUACAUGCAAAAUCAAGCAAGUAAUUAAAACCAAAGGCUUCAAAUUUUGCUUGUAACACCUCAUGAAAAAACCAUAAAGGAGAGAAAAGCUAAAAAGAAGGAAGAUAAUUUCACAAAAAAAGAGCAAUGAGAUUAUUGAAGAAACCACCUAGGCCAUUUAAUCAUGAUUUUGAAGAACAUGGAUGCAACUGUGAUGUUUUGAAAUCAACAUGACAUGACACACGAAAAAGUAGGGGCAUAGCCAUCCGAAAAUGUAGGUUUUGAUUGUUGAUUUUUUAAAUUCGAGAUGGAUCUUCCAACUAUCAAGAUGGAUCUUUGCACAAAAAUAUUAGAAGAGUGUAAACAAACCUAAAAAAUGUAGGUUAUCUCGAAUUUUGCUUUUGUUCUUCAUGUUCUCGAGUUCUUGUGAUUUUGCUUGUACUCACUUUUCUCUCUUGAUUUCUUUUAUCGAUAAUCGAUUUGAGUUCGUUUUGACGGAUCUCUACAAGAAGAAAUAAUAGAAGAGUGCAAACUUUGAAAAGGUAGGUUAGCGUACUUUUUAGCUUUUGUUCAUCGUGUU